rnacentral:tRNA from 1 species
GUGGGUAGAGCUCAGUGGUAGAGCACAUGCUUAGCAUGUGUGAGGUCCUGGGUUCAAUCCUCAGUACCUCCA